rnacentral:rRNA from 1 species
UACGUAGGGUCCGAGCGUUGUCCGGAAUUAUUGGGCGUAAAGAGCUCGUAGGCGGUUUGUCACGUCUGCUGUGAAAACUGGAGGCUCAACCUCCAGCCUGCAGUGGGUACGGGCAGACUAGAGUGAUGUAGGGGAGACUGGAAUUCCUGGUGUAGCGGUGAAAUGCGCAGAUAUCAGGAGGAACACCGAUGGCGAAGGCAGGUCUCUGGGCAUUAACUGACGCUGAGGAGCGAAAGCAUGGGGAGCGAACAGG